UAUAUAUAUAUAUGUAUAGUUAAAUUAUACAGACAAAAUAUCACAAACGAUGGUCGCCGUCGCGCCGUCGGCCGGCACUGUCUUUUUCGUUUUCUUUUUUCUUCGAUGUAAAUACCGUAGAGAGGAAUUAGUAAUUAGCAAAUUGUUUCCGGAAGCCGAUAUAGCAUAACCACUCGCAAAAACAUAUCUGCUUUCUAACACUACACCUAGCAUUAUCUAGUUUACACCUAUCGAAUUUUAUAUACAAGAUGUACAAAGUUUCGUUGAUUAUACUAAUACUGCUGCUGACGUGUGCCAAUUCCUAGGUUCUCUUCGAUCAGUGUUAACGUUCAUUUACCAGCGUGCUUUUCUUUUUUUACGCUCGGAAGACUCGAGAGAUUUUGCGUUCUCCUGGGGUCCAGCGAGAGAUUUUGCGAAACGAUUUUUUCUCCGUAGACUUAAGUAAAUCUGACAAAAAUUCAUUUCUCUACUGCUUUCGCGACAUCAGCGUUCCAAGAUAAGUAUCCGCAUUUACAAUUUUUUGUUUAGAACUUUCUUUUGUUUUUUGGAGCACCGUUCUGUUCGAUCGUAUUGUAUUAUGUAUACAUAUAUAUGUAUAGGCACUGCUUGGUUUCUUGGGAAUCUCCGAUCGCCUAAGUUCCGUGUAGAACUCGGUCGAAUAGAUCUUAUAGAGCGAUCGAGUUUCCGUAGUCGAUCUUUAGUAACCGAAUUACCAUGUUUCGUCACAGGAACAACACGUUGCGUCUCUCUCGGUCCGGUCGCACUAACAUUGGCCACUUUUCAGGACGUCAGUGUCAGCAAUUAUCGACGAAAGACGCCGUGGACCCGCUGGCGAUCUCGGCGUAUUCCUGCCUGCUAGCCGAGCAGAGCUUGCUGGUGUAGUCCGUUUCCCUUUUUCUGCGCAAACAGACCCGAGACAGGGAGCUCCAUUACGUCGACAGUGACGCUGUUCACGUAGAGGCGAUCGUUGCACCAGAAGAAGCACAGUGAUCGCGGCUGGAGCACGUCCAUGUCGUAAGUCCACGAAAGUUCGACUCGCCUGAUUUUUCCAAUUUCACCGGUCGCCCCCGCUGGAUGCGCGACGACCAUUCGCACCGUCGAUCCGUGUUCCAAUUUCAUGUAACCGCUGCUUGGGCGAAAGAAGCGACUAUUUAUUUCUGCGAAAAUCUACCGAAUCGCAAAUACAGCGAUGGAAAAUGAAACUGCCAUCCUGAUUUUUAUGUACAUUGCAGGAACAAAUAAAUUUCGUCCCCGAAACCUUCCUGAUCGCGGUAA